rnacentral:rRNA from 1 species
AGUCGACGGUAGGCUCCGCUUGCUGGGGUACACGAGUGGCGAACGGGUGAGUAACACGUGGGUGACCUGCCCUGCACUUCGGGAUAAGCCUGGGAAACUGGGUCUAAUACCGGAUAGGACCGCACCGUGAGGGUGUGGUGGAAAGUUUUUUCGGUGUGGGAUGGGCCCGCGGCCUAUCAGCUUGUUGGUGGGGUAAUGGCCUACCAAGGCGGCGACGGGUAGCCGGCCUGAGAGGGUGGACGGCCACAUUGGGACUGAGACACGGCCCAGACUCCUACGGGAGGCAGCAGUGGGGAAUAUUGCACAAUGGGCGGAAGCCUGAUGCAGCGACGCCGCGUGGGGGAUGACGGCCUUCGGGUUGUAAACUCCUUUCACCAUCGACGAAGGGUUUCUGACGGUAGAUGGAGAAGAAGCACCGGCUAACUACGUGCCAGCAGCCGCGGUAAUACGUAGGGUGCGAGCGUUGUCCGGAAUUACUGGGCGUAAAGAGCUCGUAGGUGGUUUGUCGCGUCGUCUGUGAAAUUCCGGGGCUUAACUCCGGGCGUGCAGGCGAUACGGGCAUAACUUGAGUACUGUAGGGGAGACUGGAAUUCCUGGUGUAGCGGUGAAAUGCGCAGAUAUCAGGAGGAACACCGGUGGCGAAGGCGGGUCUCUGGGCAGUAACUGACGCUGAGGAGCGAAAGCAUGGGGAGCGAACAGGAUUAGAUACCCUGGUAGUCCAUGCCGUAAACGGUGGGCGCUAGGUGUGGGUUUCCUUCCACGGGAUCCGUGCCGUAGCUAACGCA